AAGCCAGGAAAUAAAUCUGCUUACUUGAAUGUGUUGGCAGAAAUUUAGAAAUAACUGGCAAUAGUCAAGAAAGCCAAGUUACAAGCCUUAACAACGCCAAGGUUGAGUAGCUAUAGCA
rnacentral:snoRNA from 1 species